UACGAAGGGGGCUAGCGUUGUUCGGAAUUACUGGGCGUAAAGCGCACGUAGGCGGAUUGGUCAGUUAGGGGUGAAAUCCCAGGGCUCAACCCUGGAACUGCCUUUAAUACUGCCGGUCUAGAGUCCGAGAGAGGUGAGUGGAAUUCCGAGUGUAGAGGUGAAAUUCGUAGAUAUUCGGAGGAACACCAGUGGCGAAGGCGGCUCACUGGCUCGGUACUGACGCUGAGGUGCGAAAGCGUGGGGAGCAAACAGG
rnacentral:rRNA from 1 species